rnacentral:rRNA from 17 species
GGGGUAUGCGUAGCGAAUGCGAGUCUUAAAAGGCGUUUGAGUCGCGUGUCCUGGACCCGAAGCGGGAUGAUCUAGCCCUGAGCAGGUUGAAGCGCGGGUAAGACCGCGUGGAGGACCGAACCCACCUGGGUUGAAAACCGGGGGGAUGACCUGGGGCUAGGGGUGAAAGGCCAAUCAAAUUCCGUGAUAGCUGGUUCUCUCCGAAAUGCAUUUGGGUGCAGCGUCGGGUCAUUACGUCCCGGGGGUAGAGCUACUGGAUGCUUGCGGGCCCGUAUCGGGUACCAACAGCAACCAAACUCCGAAUACCGGUGACGCGUAUCCCGGCAGUGAGUCGGCGGGGGAUAAGCUCCGUCGUCGAGAGGGAGACAGCCCAGACCGUCGUCUAAGGUCCCGAAGCGUGUGCUAAGUGGGAAAGGAUGUGGAGUCGCAUAGACAGCCAGGAGGU